CUAGAUCACGCUGGCGGCGUGCCUAACACAUGCAAGUCGAGCGCGAAAGGGGACUUCGGUUCCCAAGUAGAGCGGCGAACGGGUGAGUAACACGUGGGUAAUCUGCCUCCGGGUGGGGAAUAACUCAGGGAAACUUGAGCUAAUUCCGCAUAAUGUCGCGGACCAUUGGGUCUGUGACCAAAGCUGGGGACCCUUCGGGGCCUGGCGCCGGGAGAGGAGCCCGCGGCCAAUUAGCUUGUUGGUGAGGUAAUGGCUCACCAAGGCUGCGAUUGGUAGCCGGCCUGAGAGGGCGGACGGCCACACUGGAACUGAGAUACGGUCCAGACUCCUACGGGAGGCAGCAGUGAGGAAUUUUCGUCAAUGGGGGAAACCCUGAACGAGCAACGCCGCGUGGAGGACGAAGACCUUCGGGUUGUAAACUCCUGUCGGACGGGACGAAUGUUAUUGAGGUUAAUACCCUUGGUAGUUGACGGUACCGUACGAGGAAGCUCCGGCUAACUUCGUGCCAGCAGCCGCGGUAAUACGAGGGGAGCAAGCGUUGUUCGGAAUUACUGGGCGUAAAGGGCGCGUAGGCGGUUUGGCAAGUCUUCUGUGAAAGCCCACGGCUCAACCGUGGAACUGCAGAGGAAACUGCCAGACUUGAGUCCGGGAGGGGAGAGUGGAAUUCCCAGUGUAGCGGUGAAAUGCGCAGAUAUUGGGAGGAACACCGGAGGCGAAGGCGUCUCUCUGGACCGGUACUGACGCUGAGGCGCGAAAGCCAGGGGAGCGAACGGGAUUAGAUACCCCGGUAGUCCUGGCCGUAAACGAUGAGUACUGGAUGUGGCGGGUAUUGACCCCUGCCGUGUCGGCGCUAACGCAUUAAG
rnacentral:rRNA from 1 species